GGGCCGUUAGCUCAGUUGGUAGAGCAACUGACUUUUAAUCAGUUGGCCGCAGGUUCGAAUCCUGCACGGCUCACCA
rnacentral:tRNA from 2 species